CCUACGGGAGGCAGCAGUGGGGGAUAUUGCACAAUGGGGGGAACCCUGAUGCAGCGACGCCGCGUGGGUGAAGAAGCGCCUCGGCGCGUAAAGCCCUGUCAGCAGGGAAGAAAAUGACGGUACCUGAAGACGAAGCCCCGGCUAACUACGUGCCAGCAGCCGCGGUAAUACGUAGGGGGCGAGCGUUAUCCGGAUUCACUGGGUGGAAAGGGAGCGUAGACGGCCAUGCAAGCCAGGGGUGAAAGCCCGGGGCCCAACCCCGGGACUGCCCUUGGAACUGCAGGGCUGGAGUGCGGGAGGGGCAGGCGGAAUUCCUGGUGUAGCGGUGAAAUGCGUAGAUAUCAGGAGGAACACCGGCGGCGAAGGCGGCCUGCUGGACCGCGACUGACGUUGAGGCUCGAAAGCGUGGGGAGCGAACAGGAUUAGAUACCCCUGUAGUC
rnacentral:rRNA from 1 species